AAAGGCUUGCUGAUAGCGUUCACAGUGACAGCCCGAAAGUAUGAUUCUAAGGGCCAUGGGUCUGGAUUUCCAGGAAAGCGGAGACCUCGAGGUGCAGGACUGUCGGGGCGAGGUGGCCGAGGCAGGUCAAAGCUGAAAAGUGGAAUCGGAGCUGUUGUAUUGCCUGGGGUGUCUACUGCAGAUAUUUCAUCAAAUAAGGAUGAUGAAGAAAACUCUGUGCUCGAUAUGGUUGUGUUGUUUUCUAGCAGUGACAAGUUCACUUUGAAUCAGGAUAUAUGUGUAGUUUGUGGCAGUUUUGGCCAAGGAGCAGAAGGAAGAUUACUUGCCUGUUCUCAGUGUGGUCAGUGUUACCAUCCAUACUGUGUCAGUAUUAAGAUCACUAAAGUGGUUCUUAGCAAAGGUUGGAGGUGUCUUGAGUGCACUGUGUGUGAGGCCUGUGGGAAGGCAACUGACCCAGGAAGACUCCUGCUGUGUGAUGAUUGUGACAUAAGUUAUCACACCUACUGCCUAGACCCUCCAUUGCAGACAGUUCCCAAAGGAGGCUGGAAGUGCAAAUGGUGUGUUUGGUGCAGACACUGUGGAGCAACAUCUGCAGGUCUAAGAUGUGAAUGGCAGAACAAUUACACACAGUGCGCUCCUUGUGCAAGUUUAUCUUCCUGUCCAGUCUGCUAUUGAAACUAUAGAGAAGAAGAUCUUAUUCUGCAAUGAAGACAAUGUGAUAGAUGGAUGCAUGCAGUUCGUCAGAACUUAAAUACUGAGGAAGAAGUGGAAAAUGUAGCAGACAUUGGUUUUGAUUGCAACAUGUGCAGACCCUAUAUGCCUGCGUCUAAUGUGCCUUCCUCAGACUGCUGUGGAUCUUCACUUGUAGCACAAAUUGUCACAAAAACCCACCCAAGACUUAUACCCAGGAUGGUGUGUGUUUGACUGAAUCAGGGAUGACUCAGUUACAGAGCCUCACAGUUACAGUUCCAAGAAGAAAACUGUCAAAACCAAAACUGAAAUUGAAGAUUAUAAAUCAGAAAUAGCGUGGCCGUCCUUCAGACACCUCCAGACAUCCAAUCAGAACAUUCAAGGGAUGGUGAUAUGGAUGAUAGUCGAGACACAGCCGCUGUCGCUGCCAUCUGGCGCGCCGCAGACUCCCGAGAACAGCCCUGGCUGUCAGCGGGCACCAGCCGCUUCCUGUGCCCAUCGCGUAGACUG